UCAGGUUCAGGUCCUGUCAGCCCAGAGCUACAGCCUUGUGCAGCCAGAGUGAGCUGUGGACACUGCGCUCACACAUUCCUGUGGACUGACUUUACAAAGAAGAAACUUGCCAGAUGCCCUCACUGUCAGAAAGUGUCCGUUAUUGGGCAGCGUUACCCCAGGCAACGCUGUGUUUACUUUUUCAUGCUGGGUCUCUUCUUUGCUGUCAUCGCUGGAGGAA